GGAAGGGCCGCUUGCGGAGGCCACCAGUAGGCGUGUCCCAUUUGUCCAAAUGGCAGGUGUGGUUCUUGCAGCCUGCUGGUCAUGUAGGCAGUACCUAUCUAGGUCUUAAUUUCAGAUGUGGACAUUAGGGCCACAGAAAAGAGACUUGUCCACUCUCGGUGCGUGCUUUGGAGUCAGGGGAAAGGAGAAAUUGGAGCCACUCAGGGAUUCAAGGGACCUCACUUUUAGGCGGGACUGUGGGCGACGCUUCGCGAAUUGGGGUCAGGCGUGAAGUACUAAUCAACCCGUGAAAAGUGCUUAAGCUGAUUUCGCCUCUGGCUGAACCAGACCGAAAGCUCAGGGCCUGGUGGGGUUGAUUUCCACCGGUUCAACGAGAAGAGGUGUGUAUGGAGUUAUCCCAGGCGCAAGGGAGCCAGAGCAAAACUAGCCCUCCUUUCUUCCUGGUCCUUGUUUGGGAUGCAGGCGGAGGCCAGGGUACCACGGCGUUCUCUCAGGCUCAGCAGUGACACCUCCUGGGGGUCUUUGCUCCCCAGGUGUUUCCUGGAAGGACUAGGGUUUUCCUGAAAGAUUCCUCUUGUCUGUGGCAGCCUGGUAUCCAGAGUCCCCAAUGAACCAACUUGGGGAACUCCAGCAUGAAACUGAGUGGUCUUAGAGGCUGGUGACUGCCCAAACCUGCACAAACCUUGGCUGCUCCGUGUUUGUCACUGUGAUGGACAGCUUUGAGAGGCCAGCUGCCUGACCCUGUUCCAAGUCUUCCCAUCACGUUCAGUGCUGUGAUGGACAAGCUUUAAGGAGGUCCGUUUUUCUCCUGAUAUCUGGGCUGGGUUUUCCCCUAUUAGCUGAGGCCCACCUCCUGUAUCUUGAAUAGCCUUCCUGGCAUCCUCCCUCACCAGCUCAGGGUAUGCCUGAACUUUGCUUUCCACCGAGGGUUGUCUUGGCUGGCAGGCCCCAAGAGAGGGGGCUCUGUGUCUUUGGGCUCAACUUUGGGUUCUGUGUUUUAGGGAUUUCUGAAUCUCUGGUUUGUAUCAAUAUCUGGUUACUUGUAUGUCUCCAUUGCAUGGAGCUUAGGAACUUCAGUCUUAGGCAUCCCAACAGACUGUUUCAGCCCCUAGAUUCCACACCUGCUCAGCCCCACCCCAGUGCCUAUGCCACAUCUACCCAUUGGCCAAGAGAAGACAUCUGGGUGGCAGUUGAAGGCUCUUCUCUCACCUCUAGGCUUUCUUGGAACUACCUCCUCGAUGUGCCUGGCAUGUUGGUGUGCACAGCUGAGUGAACCUUUCCUUGUCCCAUCCCGUGUCCCAUUCUGUUGGUACCCCCAAUGCUGGCACAUGCAGUGGCUGUUCUCCUGUUUGUCCACCAGUUAUUGAGUGCUUCCUGUAAGUCAGGCAUUGGCUGAGCUCUGAGGAUACAGCAGGGAAGCCAACAGUAAGCGGCAUGUCAGAAAUUAAAAUGUGUUGACAAUGAGGUGACCAUAGAAGACUGCUGAGGAAGACAUUAGACUUGAUCUGAGAUGCCAGAAGGAGCCAAUGAUCCUAAGAUUUGGUAGGAGAACUUUCCAGAUAGAAGCAAUAGCUUCCAUAAGGUGGGGUGAGGUUGACAGUAGGCAAGCCUAUUCUGUAACUAUCUCGGGUUUGACUUUAUCACCCAGCCACAUCUCCAACUCCAAUCCUUUUAAACUUUGUCCAUGCUCAUAGAUGUGUGUGUCCUGGUAGUUCACGGUGGUUUUAAUUUGUAGUUUUCUGAGUUUGAAGGGUGUUGAGCAUCUUUUCAUGUGCUUUAUUUGUAUGUGGUGCUGAGAAUCGAACCCAGCGCCUCACAAGUGUCAGGCAAGUGCUUUACCACUGAGCCACAGUCCCAGCUCCUUGGCUGUAUAUCUUAUUUCAUGAAGUGUCUGUUCAAAUCUUUUGCCUGGAAAAAUGACUUGUA
rnacentral:lncRNA from 1 species